rnacentral:lncRNA from 1 species
GUGCUCUUAAUUUAUUUUCGAUAAUGAAAUUUUCGAAUCCAUAGUCUAUCUAUAUUAAGAAAAAUAUUAAUUAGUUGAUUGUAAUUAUUUUUACUAUUUAUCGUUGUAUAUCUUUUCUAUAAAUAGGAGAUGGCAUAGGUUAAUUAUAGGACGAGAUUAGCAUAAUUAUAGGUUGAGAUUGAUUCUUAUUCUUGUAUAUAUCAUGCACUUUUCUAAUGAAAUAAACACAAUACUGUAAACCAUUAUCUUCUUCCAUUUUACAAUCUAGUAUAUUUAAAGUAUCUAAAAAAAUAAUUUUUACAAUUAAUUGAUUCUGAUUGUCAAAUUUGAUUAUAUUUGAAAAAAAUGUAAUUGUAAAUAUAAUGUGAAUGCAAAUGAAUAUUUAUAACACCAUAGUUAUUUUAUAUUUUUGAUGUCUUAGUUAUGCAAUUUGUAUAUAAAUUCUGUUCCUAUUAGAAACAUUUUAAAUUGUACUGAUUGUGACACCUUGAACGUAUAGGAAAAAUUCUAUUCGUUCGGUUGGCGCGCCAGAAUCCGACCAAAGUGACAAUGUCGGGGCGUGUUUCGAUAUCAUUUACCUUGUGGUUCAAAGGACUCAAAAUUAACGGUUGAAAUUAAAAAUUUCACAAAAGAUUAUGAUGUAGUACUAAAAUUUUCAAUCAGAGAUAUUAAUCUUCUUGUAGAUAGUAUAAAAAAAAUUUUAUCAAAAUUUUAUCUGAUUUGAAUAUUCUACACCGUUAAACUUACAAACGGCACACUUCAAUCGUUAAAAAUUAUUCAUUUUGAAUCUUUCGAACGUUAGAUCAAGUUUAACGAAAUCGAUCGUUGAUUCAAAAAUUUCAUCAUCGAAAACGGUUAAUUUUCUAGAUUAAUUUUAAAUCUCGAUUUCGAUAAAUAAUUAAAUUCGGUAGCCUCUCAAGGAUUGGUCGCUGAAGGUGCCACGUCCUACGUGCCAAGUGUGUGGGGGAAAUUGAGAAAUGCCUAACCCCUCUUUCCACCUACUUAAUUUGCUAGGAUUUUAGUCCCCCUUUUAUCUCCAAACAAAAAUUUUUGGGGAUGGUGUUUGUUAACCCCACCCUUAACGGAUUAUCCUUAACAAACCCCACCCCCCUUAGAAUUGAGGUGGAAUUAAGUUAAUCCCAUCGCAAUUUAAUUUUUAAUAUAAAUUUAUAAUUAUAAUUAUAAUUAUAAUUUUUAAAUCUUACAAAUUUAUAAUUUGUAAUCUUAAAAUUAAUAUUAAUAUUUUUAAAUUUUAAAUUUUAUUUUUAAUCGCUUAAAUUUUAAAGUUGACAUUUUGUAUUUGAAAUUUAAAAAUGUAUAAUUUGCAAUAUUUAUAUUAAUAUUUAUUGUUUAAAAUUUUAAAUUUUAAAAUUUUAAUUUUAAAGUAUUAUUUAUAAUUAUUUAAAUUUUAAAUUUAAUAUUUUAUAUUAGAAAUUUUAAAAAUUUAUAAUUUGUAAUCUUAAAAUAUAUAUAUUUAUAUUCUUAAAUUUUAAAUUUUAAAAUUUAAGUUGUUAUUUUUAAUUAUUUAAAUUUUAUAUUUUAUAUUUUAUAUUUGAAAUUUUAAAAAUUUAUAAUUUGUAAUCUUUAAAAUAUAUAUUUAUAUUCUUAAAUUUUCAAUUUUCAAUUUUAAAUUGUUAUUUUUAAUUAUUUAAACUUUAAAUUUGGUAUUUUAUAUGUGAAAUUUUAUAUUUGUUAGAUUUGAUUAAAAUUUAUAACUUUAAAUUUUUAAAUUUGAGAUUUAAAAAUAUAGAUUUUAAUUUUGAAUUUUUAAUUUUAAAAGUUAUCUAUUUAAAUUUUAAAUUUUAAAUAUAAAAUAAAAAAUUAGAAUUCAAAUAUAAUAAUUGGGGCAAUAUCAUUAUUUUCUAUUCAUAACUAUCCAUUACCCUACUUAUUCCACUUACUUCAACCAAAUACUAUUUUGCUUAUAUAUGGACUAAACCCAAUUCUCAAUCAAACACAAAAUUACUCUAACCCACCUUAACCCUGAACUUAACCCUAUUCCUGAAAUAACUAGUUCUUAUUUAAUCCCGAACCAAACGAAGCGAUAGAGAUCACCUCGCAGCGGUGGCGGAAGAAAUAACCAAGAACACAAUGAGUGUGUGGAUGGAAAGCGUUGACCAACAAUUCCAAAAGCACAUUCGGAUAAGAAUGACGCACUUAUCGCAUUUAAGGACUCAGUUACAGUGGUAACGGGCUUCGACCUGACUCAAUCCAUCUGGACGUUCGGUCUAUUAUUUUGGAGUCUCUUACCAAUAGGUCUCUUGUGGACCAUAAUUCCACUCAACUUAUUAGACUCAUCCAGCUUGACUUAUUAAUCUUCUGAGUUUAUUGUAACAUGACAGAAAAUUAGACUUUUUUUGCCCCAACAAUAAAUGAGUAAUGCUUCUAUACUUUUUUUUUUUUGUUACCGUUCAUUCACGCGUAUUCAAUGGCUCAGAUUUAAUUUUUUUAAAAUUGUGACCUGCAAUAGCAGGUCACUUUGGGAGAGGUACCGGUUACCAGGUACCUCAAAAAAGGAUAUUUUUGUCUUUUAAUACAUGGGCAAUUUAGUUAUUUUACAUCUACUAUAUUUUUAAAAUUUUUAUUUUUUCUUUGUUUCAUUUUUCUCUCUCUAUCUUUCCUUUCAUAAUUUGGCUUUCAUAUAAGGAAAAGUUCAAAUGAUUUGACAAUAUGAUC